GCCUAUCUAGACUUUGAUGUGGGGAAAAAAAAAAACAUGUAUCAUACGAAAGCCACUUUUUGAAGGUGUCUUACUGUCAUAAUAGCCAAAUGGAUACCCUAAAUAAUACAGCAACUAAAUAUUGAAAGGGACUACUAGGAAAAGGAAGCAACCAUGCCUAGUGGGGAGAUCACUAAUACAACUAUUUUAUUUGAUUUCCCCACCAAUCCUAUGAGGAAGACGUUUGAAUGUUGUUUUCACUUUUAGGACACCAUGUGGAGCUUACACGCAUUUGUGUGCAGUUAGAAAAGCAUUGCUCUGAGAGGUCCUUAGAUGUCAGCCAGCAGAAGAGGCCCAUGGCACGUGUCUCAGAGAUUCCAGCAGAGCAAGAGCUGCAGACUCUCAGAUGCCCAGGGACAGCAUUUGCAGUAGCAACACUGGAUCCUGCAUCCUCUCACCCUUCUGGAGGAGCCCUUUCUCGGUUAUGGAGGCUGCACAACAACCAGCCUUUUAGGCCAGACUCCUGCUCCAGGUGGAGGGGAGAGCUAUACCCGGAUCUUGGCAUGGAAGCUGGCAACUGCCUCUUGUUCGAUACGUGAUCACCUAUGGCGUACCUUUGGUACUUAGAGGAGAUCUAUGUGGUGCAAUUUGGGCAGCGAGGACAACUGUCCCGGUGUGGUGGGGACAGUCUUGGUGUAUGUGGCAUUGUCAAUAGUGACUCUUUUGCUGUCAGAAGACUCUCAUUCUCAAAAGGGCAUGUAGACCUCAGCUGACCCUGAGGACUCUACAACUUCAGGAAACAAGUGUGGCAACUCUGGAAAUCUCUGUGGUCUGUGCUCACCAACAAACAUACUCUAUUCAGCUGAAAGCAAGAAGAAAAGACAAUUCCAAUGUAUUAAGCCAGAAUCUUGUCAUUCUGUUUGCUUUUUCUCUCUGGCCAAGGGCGGGGGGAGGAAAAACAACAGGUCUUUGAAGGAAAUGACAAGGUGGGGAGGUGUAGAAAUUCUUGGGGCUAGUGUUAGAAAGCCAGUCUGUCCC
rnacentral:lncRNA from 1 species